AUUGAACGCUGGCGGCAUGCUUUACACAUGCAAGUCGAACGAGAACGGGUUAUAGCUUGCUAUAAUUGUCAGCUAAGUGGCGCACGGGUGAGUAAUGUAUAGGUAAUAUGCCUCUUACUAAGGGAUAACAAAUGGAAACGUUUGCUAAUACCUUAUACUCCUUAUUAACAGAAGUUAAUAAGGGAAAGAUUUAUUGGUAAGAGAUUAGCCUGUAUUGUAUCAGUUAGUUGGUGAGGUAAUGGCUUACCAAGACUAUGACACAUAACUGGUUUGAGAGGAUGAUCAGUCACACUGGAACUGAGACACGGUCCAGACUCCUACGGGAGGCAGCAGUGGGGAAUAUUGCACAAUGGACGAAAGUCUGAUGCAGCAACGCCGCGUGGAGGAUGACACAUUUCGGUGCGUAAACUCCUUUUAUAUGAGAAGAUAAUGACGGUAUUAUAUGAAUAAGCACCGGCUAACUCCGUGCCAGCCGCCGCCGUAA
rnacentral:rRNA from 1 species